rnacentral:tRNA from 1 species
GGAGGGGUGGCCGAGUGGACGAAGGCGCGCGCCUGGAGAGCGCGUAGGGGUGUUCCUGCCCCUCGUGGGUUCGAAUCCCACCCCCUCCGCCA